GUGCCAGCCGCCGCGGUAAUACAGAGGUCUCAAGCGUUGUUCGGAUUCAUUGGGCGUAAAGGGUGCGUAGGCGGCGUGGUAAGUUGAGUGUGAAAUCCUAGGGCUUAACCUUAGAACUGCACUCAAUACUGCCAUGCUAGAGGAAUGUAGAGGAGAGUGGAAUUCACGGUGUAGCAGUGAAAUGCGUAGAUAUCGUGAGGAAGACCAGUUGCGAAGGCGACUCUCUGGGCAUCACCUGACGCUGAGGCACGAAGGCUAGGGGAGCAAACGGGAUUAGAUACCCCGGUAGUCCUAGCAGUAAACGGUGCACGUUUGGUGUGGGCGGGUUCAGACCCCGUCCGUGCCGGAGCUAACGCGUUAGACGUGCCGCCUGGGAAGUACGGUCGCAAGAUUAAAACUCAAAGAAAUUGACGGGGGCCCGCACAAGCGGUGGAGUAUGUGGCUUAAUUCGAUGCAACGCGAAGAACCUUACCUGGUCUUGACAUGCAUCUCUAAGUUAGUGAAAGCUAGCGAGUUUGUAGCAAUACAAACAAUUUGCACAGGUGCUGCAUGGCUGUCGUCAGCUCGUGUCGUGAGAUGUUGGGGUUAAGUCCC
rnacentral:rRNA from 1 species